CCUGGUGGCCCAAGCGGGGCGCCCCCACCCGAUCCCAUCCCGAACUCGGCCGUGAAACGCCCCAGCGCCAAUGGUACUUCGUCUCAAGACGCGGGAGAGUAGGUCGCCGCCAGGC
rfam:Roseibium sp. TrichSKD4 genomic scaffold scf_1119120597011, whole genome shotgun sequence.